CGACACUCUUCUCAACUUCCUGCCAGCUACACUUCUCAACAGGAGCCAGCAAGGUAAAUGGCAACACCUUCCCAAUUUCAGCAAUUUCCCAUUUCCUCCACCCCAAGGAAGCAGCAGGAAAAAAAUGCUUCCAUUUUUCCAGGGGAGUAAUUUUUUUUUAAUUUUUGAAAAAUGGGGAACAGGGAGAGAUUUCAGCUCAGUAUUAGUCUUUAUCUAUAUGCAAAUGUUUUUCCUUUAAUCAUGACUGGGAAAUAUUUUUGAAACAAUGAUGUUAUAUCUUGAAAUGCAUUGUUGUAUUUUGGCAUAUAUUUUUAUUCCAUUGUUGUUUGCUGAUAUUGGUUAAGCCACACAAAUUUCAUAGAAUCAUAGAAUCAUAGAGUUGGAAGAGACCACAAGGGCCAUCGAGUCCAACCCCCUGCCAAGCAGGAAACACCAUCAGAGCACUCCUGACAUAUGGUUGUCAAGCCUCUGCUUAAAGACCUCCAAAGAAGGAGACUCCACCACACUCCAUGGCAGCAAAUUCCACUGUCAAACAGCUCUUACUGUCAGGAAGUUCUUCCUAAUGUUUAGGUGGAAUCUUCUUUCUUGUAGUUUGGAUCCAUUGCUCCGUGUCCGCUUCUCUGGAGCAGCAGAAAACAACCUUUCUCCCUCCUCUAUGUGACAUCCUUUUAUAUAUUUGAACAUGGCUAUCAUAUCACCCCUUAACCUCCUCUUCUCCAGGCUAAACAUGCCCAGCUCCCUUAGCCGUUCCUCAUAAGGCAUCGUUUCCAGGCCUUUGACCAUUUGGUUGCCCUCCUCUGGACAUGUUCCAGUUUGUCAGUGUCCUUCUUGAACUGUGGUGCCCAGAACUGGACACAGUACUCCAGGUGAGGUCUGACCAGAGCAGAAUACAGUGGCACUAUUACUUCCCUUGAUCUAGAUGCUAUACUCCUAUUGAUGCAGCCCAGAAUUGCAUUGGCUUUUUAGCUGCCGCGUCACACUGUUGGCUCAUGUCAAGUUUGUGGUCAACGAAGACUCCUAGAUCCUUUUCACAUGUACUGCUCUCAAGCCAGGUGUCCCCAUCUUGUAUUUGUGCCUCUCAUUUUUUUGCCCAAGUGCAAUACUUUACAUUUCUCCCUGUUAAAAUUCAUCUUGUUUGUUUUGGCCCAGUUCUCUAAUCUGUCAAGGUUGUUUUGAAGUGUGAUCCUGUCCUCUGGGGUGUUAGCCACCCCUCCCAGUUUGGUGUCAUCUGCAAAUUUGAUCAGGAUGCCUUUGAGUCCAUCAUCCAAGUCGUUGAUAAAGAUGUUGAAUAAGACCGGGCCCAAGACAGAACCCUGUGGCACCCCACUAGUCACUCUUCUUCAGGAUGAAGAGGAACCAUUGAUGAGCACCCUUUGGGUUCGGUCAGUCAGCCAGUUACAAAUCCACUGAGUGGUAGCAUAGUCAAGACCGCAUUUUACCAGCUUCUUUACAAGAAUAUCAUGGGGCACCUUGUCAAAUGCCUUGCUGAAAUCAAGGUAGGCUACAUCCACUGCGUUCCCUUCAUCUACCAGGCUUGUAAUUCUGUCAAAAACGAGAUCAGGUUAGUCUGACAUGACUUAUUUUUCAGAAAUCCAUGCUGACUAUUGGUGAUCACAGCAUUCCUUUCUAGGUGCUCACAGACUGUUUGCUUAAUGAUCUGCUCCAGAAUCUUCCCUGGUAUCGAUGUCAGACUGACUGGGCGGUAAUUAUUUGGGUCCUCUCUUUCCCCCUUUUGAAAAUAGGGACAACAUUUGCCCUCCUCCAGUCUGCCGGGACUUCGCCUGUUCUCCAGGAAUUCUCAAAGAUGACUGCCAGUGGUUUUGAGAUCACAUCUGCCAGUUCUUUUAAUACUCUUGGAUGCAGUUCAUCUGGCCCUGGAGACUUGAAUACAUCUAAACUAGCCAAGUAUUCUUGUACUAUCUCCUUAGUUAUUCUGGGCUGUGUUUCCUCUGCUGAAUCAUUUGCUUCAAAUUCUUCAGGUCGGGCAUUGUUUUCUUUAUCGGAGAAGACUGAGGCAAAGAAGGCAUUGAGGAGUUCAGCCCUUUCUGUGUCCCCUGUUUGCAUUUCACCAUCUUCGCCUCUGAGUGACCCCACUGUUUCUUUGUUCUUCCUUUUGCUACGAACAUACCCAUAAAAGCCUUUUUGUUGCUUUUAACCUCUCUAGCAAGCCUGAGUUCAUUCUGUGCUUUAGCUUUUCUGACUUUGUGUCUACACGUGCUGGCUAUUUGUUUGAAUUCCUCUUUGGUGGUUUCCCCCCUUUUCCAUUUUUUGUACACAUCCUUUUUAAUCUUAACUCAGUUAAAAGUUCUUUAGAUAGCCACCCUGGCUUCUUUAGGCACCUUCCAUGUUUCCAUCUCAUUGGUAUUGCCUGAAGUUGUGCUUUUACUAUCUCCUCUUAACAAACUCCCAGUCAUCAUGAACUCCCUUUGCUUUUAGUAUUACUGUCCAUGGGAUCUCACCCAGCACUUCCCUAAGUUUUAUGAAGUCGGCUUUCUUAAAGUCAAGAAAUUGAGUCCUAGUAUGCUUGGCUGCUCCUUUCCGCUGUAUAGUAAACUGUAUAGUAUGUGGGAAGCAGCAUAUAAAUUAAACUCCAACUCCAAUUGUUUGACUGUGCUCCGCUUGGUCCUCCUAUUGAGGUGAUCUGGGAAAGUGUAAGUUGCUUUUUACAAUGGCUAUAUCUGACAAUACUGACAUAUAAUUUUACUCAUCAUUUUAUUCUCUUUGAUAUGGCUAAGGAACAAGGCCUAUUAAAAAGGAGAGUAAAAGUUUCCACCUUCGGGAAAACGUAUCCAAACUUUCUUUUUAGAAACAAGUUUUCCCUUAACUUUAAUAAAUUAUGAAUUUCCAUGGCAACUUAAAGAGUCCACAAGAUGGAUUUACCAUAUUUUAAAUAACUUAUCUGCUGGUUUCUGAUCUGCAGAUUAAUCCAGUCCCCUGGCCAAAUAUUCUAUAAACUCCUGUUCCCAGUGAAAAAGCAGAAGGACCUCUUUGUGGCUGUGAGAAAAUCUGUGCACUUUAUUCCAUUCAGAUUAAGAUGCCUAGCAUAGCUCUUGCUGCAUCACUGAGAGCACAGGUCUUUGUUCACUUGCAGCAGAGCAGAAUUCCGAACUGUGUGCAGGCUGCAUCAUUAAUGAUGGCUUGAUAAGCAGAAAAAAUGCAAUAGAUGUGUGUGAGUGUAUGUGUGUAGCACCAUGAGCUUAUUUCUGUCAGAAGAAAAUGUAUAAAUUAAAAAUGGACAGAAAGAUCAGCAAUUUGGAAGUCAAAUUGAUUUUAUUCAUAAUCAUUCAUCAUUUAUUUAUUGAGAGAAGUUUGAAACAAAUUUCUGCUUGGUACAUUAUUCUCAUCCUAUACUGUACCAGAGAGGUGAGGUGAGCUGAUAUUAAUCUUCCAGCUGAGAGGAAUCUUAUUACAUGUCCAACUGUGAGAGUUCCUUUUGCAGACAACAGCAAAAAACUUCUGCCCAGAGAACAUCAAGGGUUUUUACUUUCUUUAACAGAGGCUGAUUUGAGAAGAUGAGCAUCUAUAUUUCUUUCACAGGACAGCUUAAAGUGUGAUGUAGUGGGUAGUUUGUAUCCAAAUCCUUCCUUUUUUGUGAAACUCUUUGUAACGUUCAAGCUAUCAGGAGAGAGAUUAUAAUGUCUACUGGGGGGGGGGAAUCUGACAAAAAAAAUAUGGUAUGAAAACAGAAUAGAUGUAUCAAUCUGCUUUCACUUCAGUUUGCAUGUGAAUGGGAGGCUGUUUCUCCCAGGGUCAGUUCACACAUAACAUAAUCGCAAACACAGGUUUGUCACUGUGCAUACACUCACAGAGAGAGCCACAGCAAAUUCUGGCUUCCUGAUAAAUGUGCAUAAGAAUAUAAUGUAAAAUAAAUAUGUAAGAGUCCUGCUGAAUCCAACCAAAGGCACCUCUUUUUUCCACCCUAUUCAUCUAGUUGUCAGUUUUUUCCCUCUGAGUCAGUCAAUACGUAUUCUGUACCAUUAUGUCCCUCUGGGUCACUCCUUUAGGAUUUUUUUUUUUUUUAAUUAUCUGAAAAUCUUAGUGUUACAUCCAGUCCAGUGAUACUUCCCUCUUGUGUGUGCAUGAGGUGCCAUUUGGUUACAGUUUUGCUAGCAUGAGAAGACCUGAAUUGUGAAUCAAGGUUAAUAAAGAAACAACUCUAUUCAGUUGUUUCUCCUUUGCAGGGUGGGGGAUUGUAAAAAAUAAACGAAUAAAGUUUUUUAUUAAAAAAUAAAAUAAUAAUGCUUUAGCUUUCUCUCAUACGUUGAGUACAUUUGCAAGCACAAGCUUGUCACUGUAUGGACAUACAUGCAAAAACACCAUCCAUUUAUACCCAGGAAGUGAAAUGAGUAAAGCAGUCCUCAUUAAAAUGGAAGAACCAAUUACAUGUUUAGGGAGCAUACAUGCUGCUAUGUAUUUUUGGAUCUAAUCAGAUUUCAUCUUCAUGGUGAAUAAAUGAAAUUUCAACUUAUGCAUUGUCGUCAUGAUAACAGGCACUUUUUUUCCGUUUUGCCUUUGUUUUCUUGGGUAGGAAUUAUUUAGAGCCAGCGAACUAGCUGUGACUUCAGAACAAGGUUCAAAAAACAGAAUUAAUCCUUACAAGUCAAUGUAAACAAAGUUCAUGUUUAGGAGUCAAAGCAGAAAGUUCUGCUCAAGUGCACUUCAAGAUGAUGACAAACAGAAUGAAACUCAAGCAGCCAAAAGGCAUCAUUUAUCAAUAUGGUGUGCUCAUUAAUCCAAGCAUCUGUCUUUCGCUCCAGUCAAGGGCUAGGAAACAUCCCAAUUCAGCUUCAGAACACUGAAUUGCUGUGCUGAAUCAUACAACCAACUCAUUCUCUUUGAGAAACCUGCUUCAUUAGGAAGAUUUCUGCAAAUAAUGACUUAGGGUUGUAUCAAGUGGGGACCGUUCUCUGACCAAAAUUUGUUUGGUCCAGCAGAUGCUUCUGCUAGUGAAAUGGAGAGGAAAUUAUUUUUGAUGGUUCCUGUUCCAUCUUGCAGCAUCUCUGUCACCUCCUUUACUGUUUUGAAAAGACACCUAACAUUUUGGAGCAGAUUUAGGGGGUGUGGGAAGGCUGCAGUGGUGAGAGGGAAAGAGCAAUAAAUGGCUGACCCUCUCCCUUCUGCUGACAGAUGCCGCCAUCAAAUCAAAGUGCAUUCCAUCCAUAGAGAGGCAUCACUGAAUACAUUGCUUAAUAAAAGAUAACACCCAAUGAAUGCUGACUAUUCACAGGUGUAAAGCAUAUCAUAAGGCAGUGAACAAGGGUGAUAACUAUACCCUGCAGCAAGUAGGCCAAAUCCUCAAAGAGAAUUAGCUUGAAAGUAACAGCAGGGUAUCACUAUCACCACAGUGUGAUUUAUUAGUGACUUAUAAGCACAGAGCAUCUUAGGGCACUGCCAAUUCUCUUUCUGUCAGAAACCCCUUUCCACUUGGAUUACAAUUCAGAAGAAUAAAUCAGCAGAGCUGCUAAGCAACAACUCUUAAAGUCACAGAUGCCUUCAACUUCACAAACCAAAUGCUGUAUCUUACAGCACCCUAACCACGUUUAUCAGAAGGAGGUCUCACUAUGUUCAGUGGGGCUUGCACCCAAGUGAGCAUACACAGAACUGCAUCUUAAACAGGAAGAUAGUUAUCCAGGGAAAUGGUGAAUUGCUUCAUUAUCUUGAUAAUUACCUAGGAAUACAAAGCAUUAGAGCAAAUUGCUAAUAAACUGAAUUCUAUGAAUACGCUAACAGGUGCAGCCGUAGAAUAAAGAACUGCCAAACUAACGCAAGUAGGAACAAAGGGGAAAGUAAUUUGUCCUACAACACUUUCUCAGACUAGUUUCCUCUCAGGUCACCUUUGGUGUCGGAGGAUCCAGCCCAUCUCCUGCAACUAAAAGGUUAGGUCAGAACACAGAGGCAGAGCUUUGUUAAUGCAAAGAGGAUUUGUGCCUUUAAUUGGUGCAUGGCAAAAGCAGGGAGGUCCAGGCCCAGGAGCACAUGACAGAGAGCCAGUGCUUUACUAUGGCCACAUCCGCUGUCUUCCUACAGGUCAGGCCACUUAUUGUUGAGGGAGGCUACUAGUCUAUUUCUCUGCCAAAUCUUCCAUUCAACUUUGGUGCCUGCCAGUCAUUGGAUGUGAACACGUGUGACCUUCCAUAUUUAUGUAUAUUGCCCACAGUAUGACCAAUAAAGAGCCCACUAACAUAAACUACAGAAAGCUUUUGCUUUCUGCACUUAUUACGAGCUCAUCCAUUUAAUUUAAACUGACUUCUCUCACAACUCAGAUACAAAUCUAUUCCUUGUUAAUGGCACAAUAAAGGUAUGCUUCGACUACAAGAAGCUGCACUCUUCCACUGUCUCGUAAACUGAAAUAAUAUUUCAUCCAUUGUUCUUGGAAUAAUGUAAUAGCAAGAAAAAGUGAAUAUGAGUCCUGAUACAAAAUAACAUCUGCCAACAGAAGUGAUAUUGUCCUUCUAGAACACAUUCACACAAGUCCUCCAGCACAAAAUGCAAUACAAGUACUUCAACUCUGGAGGAGUCAGAGCUAUUUUGUCAUAAUUAGAUGAAUCUCCGUGACUCACAGAUAACCAUUACCAAUAAAGCAGAGUAGAUUGUUAGAUUCUGCAAAUUGCUGCAAUCCACUGGGAAUGUUGUCUGUUGACCAUCACCUGUACUUAAUAUAUAGGAAACUAUUGAUUGGAGCUCUUAUUACUUUUCUGUAUGCCCACCUAGCCACACAGAAGGAACUGUAAGUUCCUGAGAAAGCAACAGCUUUCCUUUCACAAGCAAGUGGCUUUUUAACAUGAUAUGAAGCUUUUUAAUGGUAUGAAAGAUGCAAGGCAUGACAUCACAAAUGCGGUUCCACAUAAAAUAUGCCAAUUUCAAAGUCUGCUUUAUAAAUCUUUUCCUGAAAACUUAGCACAAGGAGAUCAAGAGGCACAAGGUUAAAGUUAAUAGUUGCUUUUCAACACAGCACAUAAUCUAUCCAUGGACAGUGAUAGAUUCAUUAGAUAUUCUGGCAAUCUCUGAUUUCUAAAUGCAAUGGCACCAGUAAGUCUGGAGUGAUUAUAGAAACUUUUUAGUGCAUGAACAAAAGGAGUUCUCAGUGGCAUUCUCCACACAGACAGACAGGCAGAAAGACAGACAGAUACACACACACACACACACACACACACACACACACACACACUUCUCAUGUAAGAUUCUGCAGCUUCAAGUGUUCUGAAAGUGAUAGCAAUGAUAUUAUUCCUUCCACUGGCAUAUCCAUUAAGACACUCUGAACAAGCGAUAGAGCUCCUCUCCUUCCCAUACUUCUGACUCCAGGAUUGUUUCCCCCUGUCCCCAAAUGAAGUUGACACAAGAUACACAGGUUGGGAUCAGGAGUGGUUUUACUGGUGGGACAAAGACAAUGCAAUAGCCUCCCAGAAGCAGAGUCAGGGCUGCUUACUGGGACAGGGAAACAAGCACAUGUUGGACCUGUGUGAGCACACUGGCGUGAGUGCCUAACUGGUUCCACACAACCCCAACCUUGCCACCUCCCUCUGCUGCCAGGAGCCUGUUGCUCUAGAUCAACCCUUUGAAAACAGCCACUCCUGGUUGGAAUAAGGGUUAAUUUAAUUCAUUAAGAUUAUUACUACAGUGGUACCUCGGGUUACAGGCGCUUCAGGUUACAGAUGCUUCAGGUUACAGACUCCGCUAACCCAGAAAUAGUAUCUUGGGUUACGAACUUUGCUUCAGGAUGAGAGCAGAAAUCGCACAGCGGCAGCAGGAGGCCCCAUUAGCUAAAGUGGUACCGCAGGUUAAGAACAGUUUCAGAUUAAGAACGGACCUCCAGAACGAAUUAAGUUCUUAACCUGGGGUACCACUGUAUUUAUAUUAUUUAUAUCUACAUUCCUGAGAGUAAACAGCCCCAUAGAAUUCAGUUGGACUUAUUUCUGAAUAUACGGGUAUAGGAUUCUGCAGUGAAACUACUUGCUGUGUGUUGCACCCUCUGCUGCCUGAGUUUCUCACGUCUUCUUGAGCAAGAGGAUGGGGCCAGAAUCUCCAAGAACCGUCCUUCCUCCUGUGGGGGGCACAAUCCCCACCUUCCCCUCUGAGUGCAUGGAGACUGUUUCACUCUCACAUGCCUCCUACUCCCCAGAAGGAUCUUGCAUGAGUAGUGGGAAGAUGGAACAUGCUUGCUGUGGGGAGGGAAUGGGUGGGGAAUUCAGGGGUACUUGCCUCUCACCCUCCCUAUUACUAGUCUCCGAUUGCCCCCCCCCCCCGAAUAGAGGCUCCCACAACCUGCUGGGCCCCUCUUUAGGAUGACCUUAUUCCCGUUCUGCAUUCCCUUAUGCUGCCUCCUCCUGGCUCUGCCAGCCACUGACAUCAUCUUUGUAAUUCCACCUUCAAGCUGGAAACUUUGACCAUGCCUUUAGGUGCUCACCCAGCAAAGCCCAUGCUUUUGAAUUCUCCUGACUACACUGUACUUGCUUGCUGUGGCCCAAGUAUAACCUGAAAAAACAAUUUCUAACACCCAGUUAUCCAUCAGUGCACACAUGCAACAAUAAUUUAGGGAGCCAAUAAGACCUACUUGGUCCAUAAGGCAACAAGAGAACCUUGUGAGAAGCAUGACUCAUUUGUAAAGUGGGCUUGGUGUUUAUUGUUUGUUAUAGAGGGGUUAUUUGUUUUUUUUUGGGGGGGGGGGUUGCACAUUUAUCAGCCUCUCUCUCAUGCAUGGGACCUCAGAGCCAUAAGCAAUGGCUUCUUUUUCCCAGUGACUAUCGGUUCAGAUUCUCUCAAUGGGUUACUUCUCUGCAAUAUGUUACAGGAUCACUUCUGAUAAUUAGUUGUGCCUGUUUUAAGGAAAUUGCCUGAAACAACUCAGAUUUAUUGAAAUUCAAACAAGAAUGACAAAUAUUUUAUUCAAGCGGUGUCACCCACAGUGUGUAUAUGUAUCAUAUAGAGCUCUUAAUUAAAAACCGCCUACAUUUGUAUAAAAUCUAACCAUCUACAAAAAGGAAACGGCCUACAUUUGUCAAUCAAACAAAUGAAAUGUUUGCAUAAUCUAGAUUUGUAUUUUAAUGUGUAACCUUUCAAAGAACCACAUUCAAGCAUAAAGCUCACUCAUUUUUAAAAAACAAAACAAAACAUAUAUAUUAGGCAGUUAAAGAAACUGGAUGUUCUAUUUUCCUAGGACCAGCUCUGUACUCCUCUAAGGUGCGUGGCUGGUGAAGAGUAAAGGCUUGUCAAGCUGCAGGAAAUGUGGCCAUCCUAAUUCUUACCACAGGUUCCCCAGCCCUGCACUAGAUUCUCAAUCAACCUGUGAAGCUGAAGAGGGGGAGAUUCAGAGCAAACAGAAUAAAGCAUUCCUCCACACAGUGCAUAGUCUGAAACUGUGUCUGGAUGGAAAUCGGCAAAAUGUCUGGUUAAUUCUGGAUGCAUGGCUACCCAUGUUGGUAGUGUAGAUCUUGGCUAAAUUUCAACAACUUUGGGGAAAACGUCAACAACUUUUCCCAAAUAAAGCUCAACAACAUUUGUGUCUGGAUUUUUGAAAUAUAUGGCAUCCCUAGAUUUGCUUCCAUAAAUUUUGUUGAAGGCAACCAAUUUAGAUGACUUCAAAAGGGGAUUCCAUAAAUUCACAGAGGAUGGCUACUCGUCCUGAUUAUAGCUGUAUGCCAGGACUAGACACUGCAUGCCACAGAACAGCAGUUUCAGCAGGAAGAGGAGAGCAUAUUGUUUUCAUGUCCUGCUCAAAACCAUCAAAGCUGAUUAAGAUCACUGUAUCUUGUAGUCCUCCCCCCCCCCUUUUUUUUCCUUUCCCUUUUUGUGGUUGGCCACUAUGGGAAGCAGGAAACUGAACCUAACAGGCAUCUAGUUAGGCGUUUUGGUCAAUCCAAUAAGGCUUCUAUUUAUGUCUUUGUGUUUUUAUAUUGUAAACCGCCCUAUGAUCCUCAGAUUAAGAGCGGUAUAGAAAUCAUAAACAAAUAAAUAUAUAAUGUUCUUUUCUCUCACCAGGCGAACUCUCUGUUACAAAGAUGUCUGCAAAUGAGACAUGAAGGCAGACAGCUUCAACUCGGCACGGUGGGAAUCCCUUGCAGGCGACCCUUGCAGUGCCCAGACACAGUCAGGUUGUGUAUCCACAGCAGUGACCACAGGAGAAAUGACUGCUGGGAAGAGAACAGAGGGAAGAAACACUGAGGGGCAUCUGCAGCACCACAACCAGACGCCUCCAUCUGCCCCAGCUGCAACAAAAUAUGUCUCUUUUGCAUUGGUCUCUGUAGCCACAGCAGGCACUGCAACCAUCCAACAG